CUACAGGAGAGUGUGUUCCCGUCAUGCACAGCGCCGUCUCCCAGCAACGCAACACAAACAUAGCAAAAAGAGGGAGUCGUUUAACCGUGCGGAUCGGGGGUGGGGGGCAGCUCGCUGGAGCAAAAGGGAUGACUGAGAGAGUCCCCCCCUCCUCACAUCUUGGCAGAGUGGAUGGACAAGUUGCUUUGGGAUUAAAAGGGCCUUUGAUUUUCAAUAUACAAAUUUAACAAAAAGCUGUGCUGCAUGGAAAAAUGUUACGAUUCCAGGAAGUUGUCAAGCACGGCCCUUCUUUCACUGCCAUUCCUACCUGCUCAAAGGCAUUGAUUGCGGGAAGAUACACUGUUCAGCAGAAACUUGGCCGGGGAAGCUUUGGAACUGUCUACUUGGUUUCAGACAAAAAAGCAAAAGAAGAACAGUUACUCUUUCUCUUCUGGAAUAAUUUCACAAAUUAGAAUGGACAUCUGAAUAAGCCAGUCUCCUUUGCAAAAGCUACUUCUGCUGAGAGAAGAAAUGUCUGCAGUCUGAGGGUUUGGCGUCCCCAUUUGCUGGCAGGGAUAGACCAAGGGCCUUGAGCUGUGGAGGCCUACGAGUUUGUGGCCAGAUAUUGUUGCCAGGUCACAAGUGCUGAAUG